rnacentral:rRNA from 1 species
GAGUUUGAUCCUGGCUCAGAUUGAACGCUGGCGGCAUGCCUUACACAUGCAAGUCGAACGGCAGCAUGGGUGCUUGCACCUGAUGGCGAGUGGCGAACGGGUGAGUAAUGCAUCGGAACGUACCCGGAAGUGGGGGAUAACGUAGCGAAAGUUACGCUAAUACCGCAUAUUCUGUGAGCAGGAAAGCAGGGGAUCGCAAGACCUUGCGCUUUCGGAGCGGCCGAUGUCGGAUUAGCUAGUUGGUGGGGUAAAGGCCUACCAAGGCGACGAUCCGUAGCGGGUCUGAGAGGAUGAUCCGCCACACUGGGACUGAGACACGGCCCAGACUCCUACGGGAGGCAGCAGUGGGGAAUUUUGGACAAUGGGCGCAAGCCUGAUCCAGCCAUGCCGCGUGAGUGAAGAAGGCCUUCGGGUUGUAAAGCUCUUUCGGCGGGGAAGAAAUGGCACGCUCUAACAUAGCGUGUUGAUGACGGUACCCGCAUAAGAAGCACCGGCUAACUACGUGCCAGCAGCCUCGGUAA